UCGAGAGGCCUUUAGAGUUUUCGAUAAAGACGGAAAAGGUUAUCUCACAGUAUCAGAGUUUCAGCACAUCAUGGGAAAUCUUGGAGAAAAAAUGACAUGGGAAGAAACGGAGGAGAUGAUAGAAGAGGUCGACACGGAUGGUGAUGGAAAAAUUUCUUGUGACGGUACACAUAUUUACUUGUGUAAAGCCAACAAAAAAAUAUGUGUGUUUCCUAUUUCCCUAUUUCCCCUGUACUUUAAGCUUAGAAACAGCCUAGCUUAUUUUUUAAUUAUUUUUUUUUUUGGGGGGGGGGCAUUUUUCAAUAAGCACUGUUAAAGUCAGAAUUUCUCUCCGGACCGAUAGCUCCAUCGUAAAAAAAAAAUUGUUACAUAAAACAAAAUCCGUACCUAUAUACAUAUAGCUACGUUGUAUCUACCCUAUUUUUUCAAAGAGGCCUAAUUAAAAGUUGAAGUCUGAACUUUGCUACUGUUCUGAUGAACAAACAUAUAGAAAUGAUUAAUGAAAAAAUGCCCAAAAUAAUAACUUUUAAAGAAUCAAUUCCAUUCAAAGUUUGGGAAAGAUGGAUUUACGACCCGGUGUAGGAGUAAAAAUGGUCCGUUAUGAAAUUAUGUCCAUCGGCCACAUUUUCACAGUGAAUUGUGUCUACACAAUGGUAUUAUGAAAUAUCAUCCGGACAAUAAUAUAUUCCCUAUGAAAUCGUGUCCACAGAAUGAAAAGGGUGCCCUUCAAAGAAAGGACAAUGUUUCAUACGGAAAAAGUGUCCAUCAUAUAAAGGAAUAAAUAUAAAUGGUUAAUAACCCUAGUAUCGCAAUAAAGCAAAAUCUUACAAACCACUCAAUUAAACAACACCUUGUCUUGACCUUCUUUGCACGGUGACUCUUUAAUAAUUAGUCUUUUUCAAAGCCUUAGUUAAAGAUUGAAAAUUGUAAAAAUUUCAAGCAAUCAAUUGAAAGAGUAGGGAAAUUGAACUAUGUAAUUAAAAACAUUAUGUCAACAAAUAACAAAAAAAAAUAAAAAUUAAUAAAACAAAACAAAAAAGACAAACAGUUUACCAACAUAACAGAGAAAAUAAAAAAUUGAGCAACACGAAACUACACCAACGUUACCUAGGUUACUUGAAUAUGGUGACACAAUUCUUUAAAAGAGAGGAUGACUUAAAAAAAAAAGUGUUAAGCAGACGCCAAAUAUGAUUUAUUCUAGCAAAAUGUAUAUACUAUGUAAGUUUUGUUCCUCUAUUUGGUAAUCAUGUACAUAUAAAGUCGAUGUAGGAACAUUCGAAAUGUCCAUGGUUGUAGUAUACAAAGAAAACCUAAAACAUUUAACAUUUAAAAAUCUAUUAUAAUUAUGCGAUUUCAAUUGUUUUAAAUUCACGAUCUUGCAGCUGCUGGUGUGUCAUAUUCAUCUUUAAUCCUAUGGUUUGUUAUUUCUAUGGAAUACAUUUGUAGCAAUAUUUAUUCAAACAAUACAUGUAUUAAGUUAUUUAAGCAAUUUCUUUUUUAAAUUAAUUGAAUUAGUCGUCUCUUUUCAGAUUUCAUAAAAAUAGUUACUACGACAGAGUAAAGCCGUUUUUGUAUUGAUUGGUAAUGCAAAACCAUUAGCUUGAGAAUGACUUAACAAUAUUUCAUUAUGGAGUGAUGUUCAACGAAACGAAACAAAAUUGUGAUCAACGCAAAUGUUGAACAACAAAUACACUAUUUUUGUUUUGAAUAUUUUUGGCGGGAAAAUUAGCAAACACCGACAAAAGUGAGAGGGAGAUAGAUAUAAAA
rnacentral:lncRNA from 1 species